CCUGAUCUUGCUUGCUCCCCUCGGCGGUCAUCUUCCUCGUCACCGCCGCCGCACUCUGUACCUCGGCCUUGGAUCCGAUGCUGAUGGUGUCCCCGGGGAAUUAGCCUCCAACAAAAAGCACCAACUUCCCCGACGAACAGAGGUAGAGUCCGACUUCCCUUCCCGACCGAAGAUUCCUCUUUGCUGAUUCAGGCGGCUUCUCAUCAGCUGCAGUUCGGUUUGGGCAGGCGUGUGGCUCCCGUUCGACAGCGACCUCCCCGGCGACCAAGUGCUGCAGCCCACUUUUUUAUUUUUGCAAUUCGCAUGUUAAAGUUUCUUUUUGCAGUGCGUGUGUGUUGUUCGGUGUGAGCUCGAACGAAGGCACAGAUCAGUCCACUCUGUUCUCUAAUGCAGAAAAAAGGAGGAACAACCAAUUAUAAAAAAUCGUAAGACUCGCUCUCCUGCAUGUAGUUUGUUUAGAGUUUGAUUGAUGUCCUGUAUUGCGGGUCAUGGAGUUCGAUUGGGGCUCCCAUGGUAAAGUUCAAAUAAAAUUAACCAUUGAGAUUUGCAGUGCAGUGCAUAGUAUAGAGGAGUUUACUUUGUAAAAACUUCUACAAAGCAUGAUGUAGUUUCUCUGUUAAAAACCCCUUGGUGGUUACGACAAAAAAAACAUGCAGUUUGUUUUGAAUUGGGUUGCGGCUCACUUUCUUCGAUGCAAAAUUCGAAUUGCACUUGUUCUUGCAUGGCGUCGUGUGUUAAAAAAAUUGCAUCGGCACUUGCUGUGCAUUUCGCUGUCGCGUGCGGUUCACUACACAUGGCCUCGCAGUUGAGAUGAAAUUAUAAAGAGAAAAUGCUAGCAAAAAAUAAAAGAUAAUGCAGUUUCCUUUGUCGCCAUUGCAAUGUGAUUCAUUUUCUAGUGAGUCAAAGUGGUUCACUUUGUAAAGCAAGAUUGCCGAAAAAAGUAUGAAG
rnacentral:lncRNA from 1 species